UACCAGCACCCCGAGUGGUCGGGACGAUUAUUGGGCCUAAAGCAUCCGUAGCCGGUUCUGCAAGUCCCCCGUUAAAUCCAGCUGCUCAACAGAUGGGCCGCGGAGGAUACUACAGAGCUAGGAGGCAGGAGAGGCAAGCGGUACUCAGUGGGUAGGGGUAAAAUCCGUUGAUCCAUUGAAGACCACCAGUGGCGAAGGCGGCUUGCCAGAAUGCGCUCGACGGUGAGGGAUGAAAGCCAGGGGAGCAAACGGG
rnacentral:rRNA from 1 species